UUGCACGAUUUACUGCCCUUGUCUUUCUUGCUGACUGAAGGUACCUCCUCCAGGCCACAUCCUGGUGCCCCGGAGGAGCGGCUGGCCCUUCGCCCCAGCGCCAGGGUGAGCUUGAUUGUUACCAAGGGACGAUCACAGAAAGAAGGCAACGUUUCGGUGGAUAUUGUCGUGUCUGUGCUGAGCACCUGGAACUGCCAGCCUCUAGCCGGAAGAGGAAACCAUCACCGACCACAAGGGAGAAACUGAGGACCCAGCCCUUGUCUUUGUUCAGCUGCUGAAUCAACACACUCAGAGACACACCCGAUGUGCACAAUAAACCUCUUAUUGUAGAAGCCCGUGGAACCUGGAUUUUCUACACCGGAAAGCAGGGUAAACUGGAGAUCUGGCGAUGCCCGGAUUUGCCACAGGGCAGACACUCAGGAAGCCUUGCCCACUGUUGACUGAAGGAGCAAAUAAAUGGGCGCAGUGGUUCUGCAGCAGGAAGCUUCCUGAAGGUCAAGACGUGGGACCCUUCGCUAACAUCAUAAAAGGCAAGAUUCCUGCUGGCUGAGCGCAGCUCUCCGUUUCUCAAACCCACAGUCCAGAAGCCAAGUUCUGAAGACAGUAGAAUCGGCUCGUUGAGUGACAGAUUCUUUGCAAACGCCGGCGUCCCAUUCUCUGCUUGU